rnacentral:misc_RNA from 1 species
CGCGCACCAGCUUCACUCAAGACUCCUUUCUCGCCCCGUGCAGCCACCCCGUCACGACGAGAGAGCGCGAGCUCAUAGAUAGAGAUCCCUGAGGCGCCGCUCGUUAAUCUGCGGACGCGUGCGUGUCUGUGUAGUGUCGACGGCACUGCCUCUGCCUCUCCGCAACUUCCCUCGCGCCGGCAGGAGAAACAGAGCAACAGCGGAAAAAGAGAUCGGAGGUCGACCUCACAAGCUCGGCAGGCUGCAUCGUGCGGAGCCCACACAACAUUCUUUGUGCCCUUCGCGUUUUGUGGCGACCACUGCGACCUCUGCAAGCGGCUGCAGUACAUCGAAGAGCGCAACCGGGGCGCGCGUGAUCGGGGAUGCCAUGCCAUCGCCUGCGGGCUCCUCCAAAGCGCCGCCGAGCCAGUACGCGCGGCCGCCCACCAAGGAGGAGAUUGCCGCGUUCAUGCUGCGGCACACUGCGCAUCUUCCGCUCGUGCUUCACGCAGAAGACCGGCGCCAGGGAGGCGAGAACGACUCGGCCUCAUCCGUAGACAACAGGCACACAGACUCUGCGCGGUGGGUAGCGCCGUACCUUUACACGGGUGCCGAUUAUGCCCUUGUCCUGGCCGCCUGCUUCCCAAGCCACUGCAUCGAUCUCUCGCUGCUGAACUGGUCGACAAAUCCGUUGCUCUCCCAGCGUCAGGGCAACUUGCGUGUGUUUUGCCAAGCCGCACGCGCCCUAGCGCUCCCGGACGCGCCGCUGUCGGCACUGCACCCGGAGCUGCUGCAGAGCAGCGCGUCCUGCAUCGUAGGGCACCUCAAGGUGCAGCAUUGGCUGUACAGUCUCUCACUGCGGUUUAUGCCUGCUAACAAUCACGACGCAGCGACACUGCGCUCAGUGCACAGACAUCUGCAGUCGGGCGAACCCUACCUAAAGCGAAGGCGAGGCGAGCACGACGAGGAUGGCGUGUGCGCGUCAGUGCGCGACUGCCCACCCCUGCCGGCGGAGCACCUGCUGCGGUGUGCGCCGGCCCUCACCCCCAUCCCCUCUUUCACCGACGCUACCGCGCUAGCGCAACUGUCUUCUGCCGCCGCUGUUUCUGCGGAGGGGGCGAACCUGAAGGUGGGCGCUGAGAAGUCCAUCGCGCUAGCCAGCCACUCCGCAGAUGAUGCAGCCGAGUUCGCAAAGAAGCAGAAGCCGUGGCUCAACUACAGCAAGCCGUGGCUGUUGCCGUCGCUGCGCGCUGCGGAGGCAAAGAAGGCGGCGAGCGAGGCGGCAGCGGCGAAGCGGGCGCAAGAGGAGCGGGAGCGCAACUCUCGGUACACGGCUUACGUAGCGCAGGCCAAGAAUGUGCACGAUCAAUACGUGGUGUCGUGUACCGCCGCGGCAGAGAAGCGGGAUCAGCUGCGCGCCAUCAAGACUCUGCUACUGCAGGACAUCAUGGAGGGAAAACCAGUCGAUUUCAAGGACUACGCCGCACGGCUCCGCGAGUGCCACGAAGGCUGAUACAUUGCAGAGAAGCCAACACUCUUUUGUGGAUGCUUCCCUCUGUCCAUCGCCCCCACGCGCGCUCACUAUUUCGUGUGGGUGUGCAUGCUUUGUUUACGCCGUUCAUCAAAAAAGAAAGCGCGCAGCACACACACACACACACACACACACACAUGCACACAAACUAACAAAGUAGAAACGUAAACUACCGACUGCACGCCGAAUACUCCAUGCUCGCCUCAGUCUGUGGCAGCAACAAGGUGCUGCGCUUGCAGCGAUGACAGCAGAAGCUCCCGCCUCUCCCCCGUUUUCCGGUUUCUUG